rnacentral:lncRNA from 1 species
AAUUUCAAUUGAUAAUUUCUCUCCUAUGCUUUAAAGUUUCAACAUAUAUUGUGUGAUAGAUCUAGAAACCAGUCAUUAUAGUGUAAAGGUGCUAUAAAAUAAGCUUCUACAGAACAUAACUUGACAACUUGUUUUCAUUUGUUUUUCAGGAGGAGUUUAAACAUUUAAAUAUAUGUUUUAGUUCUUGGUAUGAAGCAAGAUAGGAAAAUUUAUAGUUAAUUGAAUUGAAAGUUAAAUUACUUUAGAUUUGAUGAAUAUCCCACAAAACCUGGACAUUAUGCAUUUGGUUAAAGGACAUAUUUUUUAUUUCACAUUCUGUGUCACUUUCUGGCUUUUUUGUGGGGAGAGUCAUUGAGGAAAUAUAAAAAUAGGUAUCAGAUAAUUAGGAAAUGUAGAUUCAGUAGAUCUGUUAAAUGUUCUGCUGGUACAGGGUGACAACAUAAAUGUUGAUAUGCACCUGACAAAAAUAGUGCUCUGGUAUUCUUGGCUGUGGGCUUAUUUUAUCUGCUGUGACAAAGAACUGACUAUCUCUACCUCUGAGAGUAUGUUCCUAAAAUGGAAGUUAAAUUGUCUAGACAACUAAUAUUAGAGAAAAGUUCACUUAUCAGCUUAAAUAAACUCUUGAAUCCAUGGACUUCUGAAACAACACACAUUUUAAAUGCAAAUGCAAUCUUGAAUUUUCUAAUGGGUAAAUAGUUGAAAAUAUACGUUGUUCUGUUUCUAUAUCUUUUUCAGAGAGUUAAAAUUCCCUUCUGUCUGCUUUCCAGUUCUCAUGCCCUCAGAACAGAAAAAUUCUUUUUUUAAAUUCAAAUUUACUAAGUUGGUUGAGAUACAGUAUCACCACCCAAAUAGUGACUUUAAGAUUCAUAUUUAAAUUUUUAUAUGAUUUAAAAUAAUCAGUUUUGAAGAUUAAAGUAUUUGUUUUACCUAAUUAACUCUUUUUAUGUGAUUGUUUUAUCUUAUAGCUUCAAAUUUAGCUGGUAGUAUAGAAAAACUGCAAUGCAGUCAUUUACUCAGGGAUAUAUAUAUAUAUUUAUCUCAUGCCACCUAGUAACUGUAAAUAAUUUAUUUUCUAAGAGAAAUAUGUAUAACAGAUUAGCUAAAGUCUAGGCAGUUUAUUAUUCCUCUAUGCUUUUCCGUAAUUAAGCCACACUAUUAGAGAACUAUGUAUCUGAGCUAUAUUUUGUCAGUCUCCCAUAGUUUGGUUCUUUCCUAAGUCCUCUUUUACUUAGUUCAUAUUGAGAAAAAAACCCUAUGCUGUAUGUCAAUAUGCUAUUAGGGAUUGUCGAAGUUAUAGCUAAUUACAUUAAUUAUUUUACAUGGGUGCUAACCUUUUUUGGAUGUUGGUAUCAAGAUUCAUUAUGUUUCGUUCAGAGUAAUUUUUGCAUAAUGCAGUGUUAUCUAAACUAUUCUGAAAUCACUAAUAUGUCAGAAGAUGUCUGUAAAAAGAACUGAAAAAAACAAUAGGAUUUGGGUUCAGAUAUGUUUUGGAAAAUGGGCUUACCUUCAAGCCUCUUGAACAUUUACAGUGACCAUUAGCAUGGUUAAAAUGCACUGGGCCAUUCUUCAGUGGAGCAGCCUCUUUAAUUAAGAGAACAUGUUACAAAUACAGUUGAAUAACCAGGUUUUUACUGUGUGGGCCCACUUAUUUUCCUGUAUAUUACAUAAUUCAUGGGAGAAUUAUCAUCACAGUAGCAUGUAUCACUAUGCAUGAUAAUGUUGUAUACCAUGCAACAAUCAGGUGUAAUAAGGUGGAGUUACAUAAAGCAACAUAUACAGAUCUCGAAAAUGUAAUCAGAACGAGAGUGUUCUAUGAACUUUACAAGAAUAGAGCACAUGCUACCUGGCAAGUAAUUAGAACUUCUUCAUAUGCAAGAUUAAAAUAACCUCCUUCCUCUGGCUCCUUUUACCUACAUAUUUUGCAUACAGUUUUGCACCUACUUUAAUGGCUUUCUUUCUUCCUUAUAAUAAUUUAGGGGUGUUUGUAAGCCUCCUUGGUAAAGCUUGGCUACAAAUAAACAAAAUAAACUUUAUUCUAAAUCAGUAAUUGCUUGUCUUGUUGAGUAGUGGUAACUUUGAAUUAUUUCCUUGUUCUUCCAUCCUUUUACCUGGGGGUAGGGAGAGAGGAGGUAGGAUAUUUGCAUGUGUAUGUGAUAAUUCUGAGCUUUGACAACAAUGUUCCUCUUGCCAAGAUCAUCUAGUUUGAUUAGCAUCUUUAUGUAUUUCAUCUAUUUAUUGUGUAGAUGAGAAGAUGAGCAGAAAAAAAAGGAGUCAAAGGAAAACACUAUUGUGUUCUCUGGGACCUCUUCAUAUGAAGGGGACAUCAUUCAUUAUUUUCUGACGAUAAAAAUCAGGAAUGUAACAAUAGAUAUCAGGGAUGAGGAUAGUAUGUAAAACAUGCAGGACUGUGAAGAGCGUUGAAAAUGAUAUUCGGCAUUACAGGUCAGCCUAAAUCAUAACUGUUGUUAUAUUGUUGAAUCAUGCUUAUGGUAAAUUGGUUUCUGUCUCAAGAAAAAAGUUUAUUACUUAUCUACUGUGCAGGUAGGACAGGUAAGAACUGUGAAACACAAGGAGUGGCUACAAAAAAAAAGUGAAGUGGAGGCAUUGCAAGGAGUCCUCAGUUUGAAAAGUCCUGCUGGUUGUGUAAUAAAAAGUUUAUUUCCUUUUCUUUCAAUGCAUCAGGCAAUAGACAUCACACUCAUUGAACUUUAAAAAGUCCUACUUUCUUGUUAUAUAAUAAUGCAGUUAAGCUUGAUGGCAUCAUUUAAUUUACUGUCCCAUGAUCAAUUAGAUAAAUUAGGGGCUGUAUAAUGGAGUGGCUAAGAGCUUUGUCUCUGGAAUUAUUAAAAUCUGGGGAAGAAUCUGAUCUUAACAAAUAGUUGUGGAAUUUGGUGCGUGUAUUUAAACUCAGCCUUCUUUUCAUCUAUAGAAUGGGAUAAUGGUAGUAGAAAUCUCAUAGGGUUGUUGCAAGAAUGAAAUUGAAUAAUGCUGAUAAAAGUAGUCAGCACACUAACUAGCGCUUAGUAAGUAAUCAAAUUUAGCUAUGUGAUUAUUACUGCUAUUCCUUAUUGAUUUAUAUUUGUUUUAUUAUCUUUACCUCAUGUUCCUCAGCUGAGAGCAGUUAUGCCCCCAGAGGAUGUUUGACAAUGUUUGGAGACAGUUUUGAUUGUUACAGUUUUGGGGGUGCAUGGAGGGGAGUGGAGGAGGGAAGGUGCUGCUGGCAUCUAGUGGAUAGAAGCCAGGGAUGCUGCUGAAUAUUAUGUUGUGCACAGGACAGCCUCAUGACAAAGAAUUAUUUGGCUGCAGUAUGUCAACGGUAGAGAGGUUGAGAAACUUUAUUUAUUUUUGAGCCCUAAGCUGAAUGAUAUUAAUUCUUUUGUAUUUCUUUAAUAUCUACUGGUAUGUAAUGCUUUCUUUGUGUUAUAGUCAAAUUGGUAGCCCCAUCUAUGUAACCACAGUUUCUUUCUUUCUUAAGUUUUUCCCAUUAACGGUAAGUUCUAUGAAAGAGUCAUCAGAAGAUUCCUUAUUUUUUAUUCCCCAGAACACAGAAUAUGAAGGCCUUUGGUUUUAGGAUAAAGCGAGUAUAUAAACAUCAAAAAAGAAAUAAUUUUGAUUAGAAUUAUUUUAUUCUUUGUACACCAUUUAUUAUAAGAAAUGAGUUCUCAAGAAUGGCUGUACAUGAUAUGAACAGGAAUAUAAAUAUCUGGUAAAUGUCAACAAAGGUAGAAAUAUAAAAUACGGUUUAAACAUGAAAAAUUAAUACAUACAAUUAAAUUUAAAUUACCUACUCUGACUAGUGAAAUGCAUACAGCUCUUUGCAAAUCGAGACUGGUACUUUUUCAGUAUUUAUGUGACAAGAAAUAGAUAUAAUUUAUUAAAAUUUUGGAAAUAACUGUAAUUUUAAUGUCAUAUGGGUUGUUUUUACAGUGAAUUUUGUUGAACUGAUGUGCUUACAAAGGGGAUGAUAGGAAUUGCUUUCUCUAGGUCCUUUACUUGUAAAAAGUCAGAAAUCUAUGCUUUCUUGGCCUUUUUCCAUAUUCAGUAAAACCCCGUAUAAAUUUCUGUUCUAUUCAAUGCGUUUAGUACAGUGAUGUAUAGCAUUCUUUUACUAUAACAUGGAAAUCAUGUGUUAUUCCUAUCACUUUAGGACCCAAAUGAACAAAGAUAAUAGUAUAAUUUCAUCUGAAUAAUCUGGACUGUGACAGAAUGACAAGUAUAGAUAAAGCAAUAGAUAUCUUUACUUCUCUCUCUCAGCAUUGACUUUAUUUCCACAUAAUAUAUUUUUAUUGGAAGUCAUCAUUUAAGACUUAGAUUCACAUGUAGAGAAGUAUUAAAGUCCUAGAGUAUUAUUAGUGGUUCAUUGUCAGCCUGAGUUUGAACAGUAGGUCAGGGGACUUUUGAAUGAUGCUUCCAGGGCAUGUGAAAUUAUUAAACAUGUUCAUAGAUGACCUGGCUGAUGAGAUGAAAAAUCUAUAAAAUUAUGAAGAUCAUAAUAUCAGAUUGGUACUCUGGGGUUUAUUGUUGAUAAUUUGAAUUGAGAGUUAUUUAACAAGGAGAAAAAAUAGAAAUUCAUGGGUUAAAGAUUAAUGGAAUAAUUCUACUAGUUAUAAAUAAAAGAGAGCCCAUAAAUAAAAGAUGUAAAAGCUUGGGCCUUUAUUCAUAGAUUAGAAGCUAAAUAUGAAUAAGAAGCAUAGUAUUUUAAAAAUAUGUUUAUAAAACUCCAAUGUUGUAUAAUGGGAAGUCAUUGUUUAGGAACUACAAUGUAAUCUAUUCAUGACUUACAAAGGAGAUGGGAAGUUUAAUGAUCUUGUGAAAAACGGAGCAUACUGCUUAUUACAGUAAUGUCUGGGACCAUCAGGCAGGAAUAAGUACUAUUGGGGCAUUAAUUUCUCCAUCAUAAUUGAAAACCCAGAGAUGGCUUUGUUUUCAUGAAUAUGAGGCCAGAGAUUCAAGACUUUCAUCAUCUUUGUCUUGCUUUUUGUGAAGAUAAUAUGGCUCGUGAUUCUUGUUGCUUAAAUGAACAUAGUCAUUUUUUAAAAAAUUUUCCAAAAAUUCUCCAAAUACUCAGGACAAAAAAAAAAAUAAAACCCAAUAACAACUGUAGUUUUCAGACUUUUGUUAGAUACAGAUCCUUUCUUGAGACUACACCUGGAUGUUCAAUAUGCAAAGCAGAUAAAAAGGAAGCUGUUUUGUUUGGAGAAUGACAGGUGGCCUCUCUAAACUUUAGGCAUAUCUUCACUUCAAAAACCUGUUUAUUGAAAAUACUCAAAAUUUUUACCCUUUCUGAUACUCAAAAAAGCAAACUGUUCUGGAAAGCAGACUGCUAGCUGUUAGAAUGUUCUACAAGUCGAUAGCAUGAAAUGUUUAUUUAUGCUAUGUGUAAAAGUAAGGUCAGCAUACACAGAAUUUACAUAAUUAAAAUUUAUAAUGCAACAUUAAAUUUUAAAAAUGAUUACAGAAUUUUAUUUAUUUUUUCAACUGUACAGCAUGAGGGCCAAGUUACACAUACAUGUAUACAUACUUUUUCCUCCCAUUGUUGUGUUGCAGUGUAAGUAUCUAGACAUAGUUCUCAAUGCUACACAGCAGGAU